UGUUCCAUUGAAUGGAGCAUCUCAUAAAUUUCAAGUAUUUUAUACUUGGAAUUGUUAAGAGUUAAAAGGUAGUUGGAUUUGUCGCAGACAAUGAGUUAAGGAAACCUUUCACGUUUUUCCCAACUUUAGAAUUAAGGAUUCUCAAGGCCCUGUGUAGAG